UACGGGGGGGGCAAGCGUUGUUCGGAAUUACUGGGCGUAAAGGGCUCGUAGGCGGCCAACUAAGUCGGAUGUGAAAUCCCCAGGCUCAACUUGGGAACUGCAUCCGAUACUGGAUGGCUUGAAUCCGGGAGAGGGAUGCAGAAUUCCUGGUGUAGCGGUGAAAUGCGCAGAUAUCAGGAGGAACACCGGUGGCGAAGGCGGGACUCUGGGCCGAUACUGACGCUGAGGAGCGAAAGCGUGGGGAGCAAACAGG
rnacentral:rRNA from 1 species